rnacentral:rRNA from 2 species
AGGUGAAACCGCGAAUGGCUCAUUAAAUCAGUUAUGGUUCAUUGGAUCGUACUCAACUACUUGGAUAACUGUGGUAAUUCUAGAGCUAAUACAUGCAGCAGAGCUCCGACCUUUUGGGACGAGCGCUUUUAUUAGAAAAGACCAAUCGGACUCGGUUCGUACUUAUGGUGACUCUGGAUAACUUUUGGCUGAUCGCACGGGCUCGUCCCGGCGACGUCUCCUUCAAGUGUCUGCCUUAUCAACUUUCGACGAUCGGCCAAGUUCCUAUCGUGGUUGUUACGGGUAACGGAGAAUCAGGGUUCGAUUCCGGAGAGGGAGCCUGAGAAAUGGCUACCACCUCUAAGGAGAGCAGCAGGCGCGCAAAUUGCCCACUCGUAGACUACGGAGGCAGUGACGAAAAAUAACAAUACGGGACUCUUUUGAGACCCCGUAAUUGGAAUGAGAACAAAAUAAAUCCUUUAACGAGGAUCAAUUAGAGAGCAAGCCUAGUGCCAGCUGUCGCGGUAACACUAGCUCUAAUAGCGUAUAUUAAAGUUGUUGCGGUUAAAAAGCUCGUAGUUGGAUCUCAGUUCCAGGCGUGCGAUCCGCCUACCGGCGGUUAUCGCUCGUCCUGAACAGCCAGUCGGUUUCCUUGGAUGAUCUUCACCGGUUGUCCUGGGUGACCGGCACGUUUACUUUGAAAAAAUUAGAGUGCUCAAAGCAGGCGUGACGCCUGAACAAUUGUGCAUGGAAUAAUGGAAUAGGACCUCGGUUCUAUUUUGUUGGUUUUCUGAACUCGAGGUAAUGAUUAAGAGGGACAGACGGGGCCAUUUGUAUUAGCCAGCUAGAGGUGAAAUUCUUUGACCUGGCUAAGACAAACGAAAGCGAAAGCAUUUGGCAAGAAUGUUUCCGUUAAUCAAGAACGAAAGUUAUGGGUUCGAAGGCGAUCAGAUACCGCCCUAGUCUUAACUGUAAACGAUGUCGACCAGCGAUCCGCCUGAGUUCCUCAAAUGACUCGGCGGGCAGCUUCCGGGAAACCACCAGUU